rnacentral:tRNA from 1 species
AAAGUCCACAGGUAAGGGCCCCUACUUCUUCAUAGGGGUCACUCACUAUUCAUAUGGUGAGGGAUUUUU